rnacentral:rRNA from 1 species
ACCCACGUUCGGAUCGUAGGCUGCAACUCGCCUACAUGAAGUCGGAGUUGCUAGUAAUCGCGGAUCAGAGUGCCGCGGUGAAUGCGUUCCCGGGUCUUGUACACACCGCCCGUCACACCAUGGAAGUUGGGGGCGCCCGAAGUUGCCUAAGAAAUAAGGUACCUAAGGCGAAACCAAUGACUGGGGUGAAGUCGUAACAAGGUAGC